GUCAAGUGGGGGGCAACCCUGAACGAGCAAUGCCGCGUGAGCGAAGAAGGUCUUCGGAUUGUAAAGCUCUGUUGACCGGGGAAAAAGGAAGGAAAGAGGAAAUGCUUUUCUUUGGAUGGUACCCGGCCAGAAAGUCACGGCUAACUACGUGCC
rnacentral:rRNA from 1 species